rnacentral:rRNA from 1 species
CUGGAACUGAGACACGGUCCAGACUCCUACGGGAGGCAGCAGUGGGGAAAUAUUGCACAAUGGGCGAAAGCCUGAUGCAGCCAUGCCGCGUGUAUGAAGAAGGCCUUCGGGUUGUAAAGUACUUUCAGCGAGGAGGAAAGGUUGUUGGUUAAUAACCAACAGCUGUGACGUUACUCGCAGAAGAAGCACCGGCUAACUUCGUGCCAGCAGCCGCGGUAAUACGAGGGGUGCAAGCGUUAAUCGGAAUUACUGGGCGUAAAGCGUACGCAGGCGGUUUGUUAAGCGAGAUGUGAAAGCCCCGGGCUCAACCUGGGAACUGCAUUUCGAACUGGCAAACUAGAGUCUUGUAGAGGGGGGUAGAAUUUCAGGUGUAGCGGUGAAAUGCGUAGAGAUCUGAAGGAAUACCGGUGGCGAAAGGCGGCCCCCUGGACAAAGACUGACGCUCAGGUACGAAAGCGUGGGGAGCAAACAGGAUUAGAUACCCUGGUAGUGCACGCCGUAAACGAUGUCUACUCGGAAUUUGGUGUCUUGAACACUGGGUUCUCAAGCUAACGCAUUAAGUAGACCGCCUGGGGAGUACGGCCGCAAGGUUAAAACUCAAAUGAAUUGACGGGGGCCCGCACAAGCGGUGGAGCAUGUGGUUUAAUUCGAUGCAACGCGAAGA